UCCCACUCAUCGUGGGCAGUUUCUCCAGAGUGCCCCCUUGCGGGUGGCAACAGGAAAUGGGGGUUGCGCUCGUUGCGGGACUUAACCCAACAUCUCACGACACGAGCUGACGACAACCAUGCAGCACCUCGGCUGGUUCCUGACUUUACAGAUCAUCUCCGCUUUCACGGAUCUUACUUCCAGUCGUUCGAGCCCAGGUAAGGUUUUUCGUGUUGCGUCGAAUUAAACCACAUACUCCACCGCUUGUGCGGGUCCCCGUCAAUUCCUUUGAGUUUCAACCUUGCGGUCGUACUUCCCAGGUGGAUUACUUAAUGCUUUCGCUCAGACACGCACAGUGUAUCGCGUAUGUCGAGUAAUCAUAGUUUAGGGCGUGGACUAC
rnacentral:misc_RNA from 1 species